rnacentral:rRNA from 1 species
AACGAACGCUGGCGGCAUGCCUAACACAUGCAAGUCGAACGAGACCUUCGGGUCUAGUGGCGCACGGGUGCGUAACGCGUGGGAAUCUACCCUCAGGUUCGGAAUAACUCAGAGAAAUUUGAGCUAAUCCCGGAUGAUGACGUAAGUCCAAAGAUUUAUCGCCUGAGGAUGAGCCCGCGUAGGAUUAGGUAGUUGGUGAGGUAAAGGCUCACCAAGCCGACGAUCCUUAGCUGGUCUGAGAGGAUGAUCAGCCACACUGGGACUGAGACACGGCCCAGACUCCUACGGGAGGCAGCAGUGGGGAAUAUUGGACAAUGGGCGAAAGCCUGAUCCAGCAAUGCCGCGUGAGUGAUGAAGGCCUUAGGGUUGUAAAGCUCUUUUACCCGGGAUGAUAAUGACAGUACCGGGAGAAUAAGCGCCGGCUAACUCCGUG